rnacentral:rRNA from 1 species
CGUGGUCAGCAUGGGCACUUGGGGCAAGUUCCUUGGAAGAGGACAGCAUGGAGGGUGAUACUCCCGUUCAUUUCUGAGUUGCUCGUGCGUACGACCCGUUUUCUUUGAGUCGCGUUGUUUGGGAAUGCAGCGCAAAGUAGGUGGUAAAUUCCAUCUAAAGCUAAAUAUUGGUGCGAGACCGAUAGCGAACAAGUACCGUGAGGGAAAGAUGAAAAGAACUUUGAAAAGAGAGUUAAAGAGUACCUGAAACUGCUGAAAGGGAACCGAAUCGUUUCCAGUGUCUAUAAUCCGUGGUAUAUUUCAUUGGCGAGUGUGUGCGUGCGUGUGCUGUGGCAGCGGCUUUUUUGGCUGCGCUCGGCGUGUGUGCUGUGUGUGCUUGCUGGUGCUCUGUGCUGCGGUGGGACGUCAAGGUCAGUUCGUAUGCUGCGGGAAAUGGCUGCCGAGGAGGUAGGGCUUACGCUUGCGUUUGUCUGUUAUAUCUUGGUGGACGAGUAGUCGCGGUUGGGACUGAGGUGCCUACAACGUGCUUUUGAGUGGGUUUGUGUCUCCGUGUGCGCCGUGUGCGGAUAGCUUGCUAUGCGGUGUGUGGUUGUGUGUGGAUUGAUGCGAGCUUUAACUUGUUGCCGUUCGGGAC